GGUGAAUUUCAAAUGAAGUUCAGUUCAGUAUUCUCUCUAGGCUCCUGGGCACAGUCUCACUCAAUCAGACUGUGAUGUGGUUGAUUGCGCUUCUUGCUUUGUAGGCAGCGUGGGUAGCUGAGAAAAAUGGGUUUUUGUUGGGAAGGCCUUUCUUUUCUGACAGGUGAAUUGUAAAGUGUUCUGGUUCAUGGGGGAACGCUAUGAGCACCAGUCUGGCAAAAAAAUGGGUGUCGAACAGGUAAGCAACUGGAACGAUCCCAUAAAUCAUCCUACGCCGUUUAAAUCGACUGCUUCAACACAUUUUCCCGGUACCCAUUUAAUCCCCACGCUGACACAUCGGCAAACAAGAGCCCGCAAUUGUUCUCCGUUAAUAUCGAAACUCAUUAUGAAUAUUUGAAACUUAUAGUCCGCCUCUCACAAUUUGCUUUUUCCCAUCGGAAAUCCGAUCCGGGAUCCAUCGAGCACAGAAAUCGAUUGACCCAUUUCCCAAAACUUACCAGCGACCAUUGCAUUGGUGGAUAGCGAGAAUCGUGUUCCUCUCCGCCGCCGCCGCCGCCAUCAGUUGACUGAUUGAAAUGGGAAAUCUUUCGGUGGAUUUCCAUCAUUUCAGCCUGGCGACAUGGUUGAGAGCUCGCGACUGUCAGCGGAUGCCCUCCCCGAAAAUCGCACUCAUUUCAACGGAAUAAGGUGAUGGAGAGCUUAAUGGGCACUGAUGCUUGGUCGAUAUGCUGCAACCGACACACAGUGGUUCCUGCUGCUUGGAAAGGUGAUCAAAAAUACAAAAUUUGUUGAAUAUCAUAUAUAUUUAUGCUUUCAAA